rnacentral:lncRNA from 1 species
GCAGCGCUGGCAAGAAUAAACAUAGUUGGAAAGUAAUGGUGCUGGCAAGAAUAUGCGAAGCUGGAAAGAAUAAACAUAGCUCUGGAAAGUGAACUCUUAUGAUUAUGCUUGGGAAAGGUAGUCAGCGUUGGCGAAAUAGGUGGAGCUGGAAAGUAGUCAGCGCUGGCAUUUAUGGGCUGAGUUAAAAAUGGUCAGCGCUGGCAGUUAUGAAUUGAGUUGAAAAUGGCCAGCGCUGGCAGUUAUGAAUUGAGUUGAAAAUGG